AAUAACCAAAUAUAAUAAUUGGAUUAAAGAUCAAGUUGGUAAUUUUUCUUACAUCUCCCACUCUCGGAGCCCAGGUAUCAUAGACACCACCAAAAUAAUAAAGUUUUACAAUAAAGACUAAA
rnacentral:ncRNA from 1 species